AGCUUCAACGGGAGCAGAUGAAAGCCGAACUUCAACAGGAAAUUCGAGGGAGAGACCAAGAACUGUGUGAGAUCAGGGCACGUGUCAAGGCCUGCAAGGGCAGUUUGGACGGAGAGUGGCUCGAAAUUAACGCCGUGUUUUCAAACGUGAUUCACAUCGUGGAGGAGGCUCGUCAGAGAGCGCUGCAGCCGCUAGAAAACAGGAGAGAACGACUGAAAAGAGAUUCCCAAAGGCUGAUCAAGAAAAUACAGGAAGAGAUUGAGAAACUGGAAAACGCCAUACAGGAAGUGGACGCUGCUGCGGAUUUGGACGUGAGGA
ensembl:lncRNA